UACGAAGGGGGCUAGCGUUGUUCGGAAUUACUGGGCGUAAAGGGCUCGUAGGCGGCCAUCUAAGUCGGACGUGAAAUCCCCAGGCUCAACCUGGGAACUGCAUCCGAUACUGGAUGGCUUGAAUCCGGGAGAGGGAUGCAGAAUUCCAGGUGUAGCGGUGAAAUGCGUAGAUAUCGUAAGGAAGACCAGUGGCGAAGGCGGGUCUCUGGACAGUUCCUGACGCUGAGGCACGAAGGUCAGGGGGAGCAAACGGG
rnacentral:rRNA from 1 species